UAACAUAGUACUUAUCACGCCUUUUGUAAUUCAAUCAUUACACAACAUAUUUUUCCUCUUUUACCAGCCUACUAGUAUCCGUGGGGAUCCAUAGGGGUCCCGCUACCCGUGAACCUUUAACAUUUACAACCUGAUUCCAGGGCCGUCCCCAUACCCCGUCCGGUAUGGGCGCCAAAACACAUAAGGUCUCCAUACCCCGUCCGGUAUGAGAGACCACAAUCCCGGUAGGGUUCCCUACGGACCCGGUCCGUCCACCAUCUCUCAGGAUAUCUAGUCAGGCUGAUCACAUUAUACAAUUAUCAAUUUACAUAAUCUUUCAUUCUCCUUUUCCUCAGUCAGCAUCAUCAAUUCACACACAAACAAGCAAAACAGUAAUUUAUGCCAAAUAAGACAACAUACAGUAUCGGUUACUCAGUCAUUCAACCCAUAAUCAAUAAAAC
rnacentral:lncRNA from 1 species